GUACAGUCAUAGAGUGAAGGUGGUUUAUGGUCGUCCUUAAGAAGCCGAUCUGAAGUGCUCGAAAUAGAAGGUUUGUCGCAUCGCAUAUCACGAUUUGGCAGGUUACACCAAUAUCCCGCAAACAAAAGGGACCACCCGAUCUGUUCACGGAUAACCGCAUGCAACGCGAGCACGUUUGACUUCAUUCCAAUCAAUACACCAAGUUCCCUAUGAGCUAUCGCAAAACUUGCACGUAACAUCCGUAUAGUUUGGAGAGAUAGAUUUGCUACGAGAGUUGCGAAUUCCAAGAAACAAAGAGUUAUACGGCAUAAGCAAGUGAUCUCCGACGACAGAUUAAGCCACAACGAGACUCGGCUGCGUUGGAUUUAAGUAUCGAAAGAGUAAACACAAGACACCCAAAGGCCUUCGAAAGAGGGCCUUUAAUUUACAGGCUUAGGUGCUUCGGUCGUGCCACAGCAACGAGACUCUUUGAGCGUAGUGAUAGCAUCUAGGGACGGCGAAGGCAAGACCGAUUGAGCCGAAUUUACUGCAUUUCGUUCCCGCCAACCAUACGUGCGAUAGCGAGACCGCAAGGACACGAAGGAGCAGACUACACGAUCGUCGCAAUGCUUGCCGAUUAGGCAAGACAGAAAGGGAUCUAGCGCACCGGUGGCAGCGUGUGAAGUACAGUAAAGUCAACAUCAAGGGGCCCCCACCGAUAUGAAUAAGUUAAAGAUGUGAACUUUGUAAAGGGUGGCAAAAUGUAUGUAUGCCAAUAGAGUUAAGUUAGCAAUAUAACUUGAUUUUCUUAUGUUAAGCUGCACUCCCUUAUCGCAUUGUUUUGUGAGUCUUACCGUUUUAAUUCAGUUGAAUUCAUCUACUAUUGUAUCCUCCCAAGUAACAAAACUGGUUUUAUCAAAGUUUUAUAGCGCUGUUUAGGCUGUAUUAAGCGCUAUAAAACUUUGAUAAAAUCAAUAUUGUUACUAGGGCUGGCACGGAAUAGCCCCUGCGUAGUUGGACAGAUUGCCUGAGGGCCAACUGAUUUUAAUGUAACGUUAGAUAGAGAGAGCAACAAUGGCCAACUGUCUUCCAAGCUGAAGUUCAAGCAAUACUAGAAUGUUCUGUUACAUGCCUACGCAGGAAAUACAGGCACUCAAACAUUUGCAUUAAGUCCGACAGUCAAGCAGCUUUGAAGGUUUUGAAGUCUGCGAUAUACACUAGAACCCUCUGAAAUCUGGAGAAUAAAUCCCAGUAGAGAUGUGCGCUGAAAUUCACCAACAAUAAAACUCAACAAAAAACUCCUAAAUAAUUGUAAUACUGUAAUUAUCACGACCAGAAAUUACGAGGAAGCGUGAUCUUCUCAAUUUUGAUAAUCUGUAUAUGGAACUUAAAGCUGCAUUAUCAAUUCGAGUAAGCAGAAGAAGCAGAAUCAUACAAAAAAUAUUCGUAAAUAACGCAACCGGUGGAAGUGAUAUAAAGGAAUCUAAAGCAAGAAUUCUCAGAACUGUUAAACUCCAAAUAACUGAAGACAUAAGAAAUCGGUAAUAAUAUUUAAAAAUGGUAUGAAACCAUCGAAAAUUAACACAUUGUUGAAAAAU